rnacentral:lncRNA from 1 species
GCAAAUGUUAAUAUGGGAUCAUCUUGUGGUUCCAGUUCCAGAUGUGAUGAUAUGGCAUGUUGCUUGAAAUUUUGGCCAAAAGAUGUUAAGAAGGCAGUGAGGGUGUCAUUUUUAUAGCUUUGCUCAUUUACAAUUAUAGUAGAGGAACUUCUGGAAGUAGUUGGCGACAGAAGGUGUGUACUUGGUUUUCUGUCUAGACCACCAAUAAUUAUAGAUUCUUUAUAUUUGGAAGAGGCUUAGUCUUAUUUUUAUCGUAAAAAUUUAAGUCCUAUUUUGUUACCAGGUCUAUUCUCAUUUCUAAUUGCUUAUAAAACGUCUAGAGUCUUAUAGUAAGGUCCAUUAUACCAAAUGAAUGUAGAGAGUUUCAGGUUAACAUAGAUGAGCAAGGAAAAAAAAAAUUAUAUUUGACAUUGUAUCUUUUUCUAUUCUAGUUUCUUCUUCCUCGGUUUCGUCUUCCUCCCACAUUCUCCUACUAUCAGGGCUAUAAUAUUGCUUAAGAUUGCUUGGUUGCCUUUUGUAGAUUAUAGAUUCUUUAUAUUUGGAAGAGGCUUAGUCUUAUUUUUAUUGUAAAAAUUUAAGUCCUAUUUUGUUACCAGGUCUAUUCUCAUUUCUAAUUGCUUAUAAAAUGUCUAGAGUCUUAUAGUAAGGUCCAUUAUACCAAAUGAAUGUAGAGAGUUUUAGGUUAACAUAGAUGAGCAAGGAAAAAAAAAUUAUAUUUGACAUUGUAUCUUUUUCUAUUCUAGUUUCUUCUUCCUCCUUGGUUUCGUCUUCCUCCCACAUUCUCCUACUAUUAGGGCUAUAAUAUUGCUUAAGAUUGCUUGGUUGCCUUUUGUAACUGGGGCCCAUCACCCACAUGAUUAGGUUUUGCCAUAUAUGACAUUAUUGAAAUAGGCCAGGGUUUUUUUUUUUUCCUUACAUCUGUUUUCAACUUGCUGUACCAUGAUAUUUCACUUUGAUCUGAUAUGUGAUUGCAACAAUAACGUGUGAUGCACACGACUCUGUUCUGUGUUUGAUAUUGGCAAUAAUUACCUUCUACUUUGUUGUUUUUAAUAAUCAUGCUCUAAUCUUAUCAAUAUUUCUUCUUGGAUAUUUGUUCUCUUGAUUUUUUUCAUUUCAUGACCUUAUUGCUAGAAAUGACACAAACCUGUUUUCAAUUCC